CCUCAGCCUGCUAAAUAGUUACAUCAAACUUAGUUUGACGAUAGCUUCUUAGAGGGACUAUCAGUGUUUAACUGAUGGAAGUUUGAGGCAAUAACAGGUCUGUGAUGCCCUUAGAUGUUCUGGGCCGCACGCGCGCUACACUGACGGAGGCAACGAGUUUCCUGGGCUGAAAGGUUCGGGUAAUCUGUGAAACUCCGUCGUGAUGGGGAUAGACUUUUGCAAUUUUUAGUCUUCAACGAGGAAUGCCUAGUAAGCGUGAGUCAUCAGCUCGCGUUGAUUACGUCCCUGCCCUUUGUACACACCGCCCGUCGCUCCUACCGAUUGAAUGGUCCGAUGAGCAUUGUGAAGCGAGACCAAAGGACGGUCCGCCGUCUGUUGGUUCUUACGAAGCUCUGCAAAUC
rnacentral:rRNA from 1 species